GAUUAUUGAAUUGGUAAAGUAUGAAUAUGGACGGUAAAAUUCACGGUGUUCAUCCUAAAAUUCUAAUGAUUACUAAUUCUCAAGUAGAGAUGGGUAAGUCAUAGUGUGAGAAUGUGAGGAGGUCCUAGCCCAUAGGGUAUCUUGGGUGAGGUAUAACAGACUAAUCUCGGGUGGCAGCUGAGGGGUUUCUAGUUACUACACCCCCGGGUGCACAAACGACCUUUAGCUACAUAUUCAUAAAAUCCAGAUGGUCAAGUCAAGUGGUCUGUCAUUGCAUGUAUGGUGUGUUCAGUCAUUGCCUGAAACAUAUGCCUGGUUAUUAUAUGUUUGAAUGCUUGGUGAAAUACGUGCUUAUGUAUGAGUUGAUUUUGUAUGAUAUUAAUGAUUAAUUAAAUUACACUAGCUUACCUUACUUUUCCUGUCUUGUCUUAUGUUGUCCGUUCGGUCGUCUUCUUCAUUGUAAUGAUCAUCCUGUGCAUGUGAGCAGAAGGUGAUGAGUGCUUUCUAGAGCAGGUGCUGAGCGAUGAGCCUCCAACCUCUUAGUUUAGGAUCGUUCGGUUUAUACAUGGUGUUGUAUGACC
rnacentral:lncRNA from 1 species